rnacentral:lncRNA from 1 species
CUCUUGUUUCGCCUUCUUGCUCUUGGGCCAUCUUCCCUAAGUGGGAAGACCUAGGUUUUGCCAAUCGGUUACCCGAGACCUUGGAGCAACGGCCGCGUUUGUUUGCAAAACUCUCCUCAUUGUGUGGCACCCGCCCUGCGCAGGUGGAGCCUUUAAAUGGGAACACCUGGACGAGGCUCUGAUGGGAAACGGGGGCUGGAAGUUUGUCAGGAGCACGGAGACAGGUCGCCCUUCGGCCUGAAUUUGGCGUAACUAGGACUGUGGGUACCUCCUGGCCCCAGACUGUUUACCAAAGCAAGCUUGCUGCAAGCUGUUGUAGAUAAGCUUUAACCUCCGCUGGUCCUAGGUGCUCUGAAGACCUUCGGCUUUUUAUUUUAUUUUAUUUUUUGAGAUAGAAUUUCGCUGUCGCCCAGGCUGGAGUGCAGUGGCGCCAUCUCGGCUUACUGCAAC